GGCGGGGCUCAUUUUUUAAAUACACUUGUAACAGUGUGAGCAUACAGAAGUCUGGAUGCAAAACUUGGUUGCCCUAUCUCUUAUGGUCUCAGAGUACUAGGCGCUCAUAAGAACGUACAGACGGACCGACGGACGGAAAGACGGACAUGGCUCAAUCGACUCGGCAGUUGAAGCUGAUCAAGAAUAUAAAUACUUUAUGGGGUCGGAAACGUUUCCUUCUGUGUGUUACAAACAUCCGUUAUUCCCCACAAAUACAAUAUACUCCUUGAGUACGGAUAUAAAAAGCUAAGCGAUUGGGUCAAAUUUGUAGCUACAUCAAACAAAUUUUCAGAAUGGUUCUUUACAAC
rnacentral:lncRNA from 1 species